AUGGCGUGCCACUGGAGCGCAGCGCUGCUGUGGCUGUGGGCGGCUCUGCUGCUGCGCCUCGCGGCCGUGGGCAAGCCGCCCGCGGUGGUGGCCGGGCCGGUGUCCCGGGCGGAGGAGGCGAGGCUGUUCCACAUGUACUACGGGCAGGGCUUCAAGGUCAUCAAGAACGCCUGGGACGGCAAGAGCUAUCUCCUCAUGCAGCUACUUGGGGUGCUGGAGAACUUGAAAGGGAUAACAUCACCUCAGGUGGCUUCUCAGUGCGUGCUCCAGGCAUAUGCAACUGGAAAUGUUCAGCUUGUCAACAGGACAGACACAGGUUGCAACUUCACAGCCUACGUACCCUUCAAAGAGGACACUCCGUUGCAGAGGGCCAAGUGGAUUAAAUACCUGGGAACGUUCACGAACUCCGAAGACAGGGCCAAUGCAGUAUAUGAUGCAUUGUGCUUAAGCAAAGCAGCUGCUGCCCUAAGCAUCCGAUUCAAACCUAUAGUAGCAUGGGUUGAAUUCACAGAGGGAGUAUGGACAUUUGUCAGAGAAAGCUACAAGUUACAGAUAGCAUCACUUCGUACGGUGGAUGUGGUCAUAGAUCAGACAUAUGCCUCGGAUCCUGCAGAGUACAAGCUAUCCACAUUUUUGGACAAUAUUGAUGUGGGCCGUGACUCUUGUUUCAGUUUCAUAACUAACCAAAGCAUAUGGAGAUUUGAUAAAAGAAUAGGAAAUUCCAAGACACUUGAUUGGUCAGAUGGAGCUAUCUCGCAGCCCCAGUUGGUUCUUGCUGAUCAGAUAGAAGUUUUCUUCCGAACGGGGAACUACACAACAGUUUACUUCAGGAACCUUGCAAAGAUAUGCGCUAUAUUUUCUCCAGGCUAUCUUUUUCCUUAUAUUGAAUUAAACCACAUUAUAACUAUUCAGGAAGAAGGGGUCACAGAAAUUGGCCCUGAAAUGUGCACUAGGAGCAUAUCCACGGCCAUGGAGCCUACGAUCCUGCCCUGCCAAUGA
rnacentral:rRNA from 1 species